CCUUGUAUUUUGUGUUUUAAUUUUAAUCACUCAUCUAUAUUACAUGAGCAAAACAUAUAUUGCCGAAAGAAAACAGAUACCUUUGGACAAUGGUUACACCAAGGGCAGUGAAUGCAUUUCUCUUUUCACCAUUGGUCAGCUGACUUGCCUUCCCAGUUGCAAUGAAGAAGAAUGAUUAGUCAAAAGUAUUAAAAGGCUGUAGGCCGUACUGAUCAAAACAAAUUUAAACAAACGAUCAUUUUUUUAACAAUCAUAAAGGAAACAAGCAACAGUUAUGGUUCGUUUGGUUGGAGCCCUUUGUCAACAAAGGGAGAGAGGACGAAGUCAAACGUAUCCGAAAGGUACGGGGUUACAAGAUGGAAGCUUAGCCACGGUUUAUUGUCAAACAAAUAGACACGACUGUCGGAGCCCUUUGUGCGCAGGGCAUUUGACGAACCGGGCACUCAAAUGACGCUAAAGACUUUUCACUUUGCUUGUGUGGCACCGAUGAACAUCACACAGGAACUUUCUGGAUUAAGGAAAUCAUUAACGCCCUAAAGGCCUUUAGUACACCUGUUAUCUCCACCCAGCUUCUAAUUGUUGACGACCCGGAAUAUGCGCGACAAGUUAAAGGAAGGAUCGAAAACAAUUUUCGGAGAACUAAAUUAAACAAUUUUUCGUUAUCAAUAUUUUUCAAUUGUCUUUUUAUGUGACGGGAUAUUUCGAUGAAGUAUAACUGCCUGAUUAUUUUUAAUGUCGAUUAAAUUAGACAUUAACCGAAUCCGCUUGCUAAAACUCGAGGUGGCUGCAAAUUCUAUCUAGUAGAGCCUCUGUAUACAUGUAAACUGAAAAUAAAGCCUGCUUUCAUCGAAGUCAUUAGUGAAACAAUACAAAUUGUAAAGCUGUGCUCCAUCUGCAAAAUCGUCAAUGUAUCUGUGAGGCAGUACCUCAAAGAACAAUUGCCUAGGGACUUCAUACAGGGUUUGCCAACUGCUAGCCGAGCUGUCAUCAACAUCGACGAUACAAGGAAACCGCAUAGAUAGUGUGUUUAUCUGUUAACUGCUUCAAAUUGACUCAGCAUUAGGCAGCAAUUUUGGAAGUUGUUGCUUUCUCAGUAUGAAUGAGCUUCAAUGUUGGUGUUGCAGGUGUUACCCAUGUUACGUUGACUGUUUGGAUUCCUAUUCAUUAACAUUUCAAAACCAAAUUCAUCUUCUUAAAAUUGACUUGAAAGGAUUUGGAUCAUUCUAGGAACAUAUCUAUCAAAGAUGCAAAGCUCUAAUGGGAUUAAUUUAUCCGUCAAGUACGUUUUCAUUUGCAGUCUGUAUGUCCUUUCCGAAGGCUCUGCCAGAAGAAUAUGCUAAAUAAUGAAUUUAUGAAUCGCGUUCCUUGGUUGGGGCGAGAUACCGAAUAAAGUUUAAUGAUUGGAUGCACUA